AACAUUCAACGCUGUCGGUGAGUUUGGAAUUAAGAUCAAAACCAUUGACCGUUGAUUGUACC
rnacentral:pre_miRNA from 1 species